ensembl:lncRNA
UGUUUUUCAUCAUUAGGACAAAAGAUACCUAACCCAGAUGGAUGAGCAGAGCACCUUGCCCAAAACAAAACUGGUGUCUCGUCUCCAGUUGGGACCAGAGAAUAGAGAAAUACCACAUAUGGUUGAAGGAAGGUAUAUUAUGCAUGAACAAGCUGUCAACAUUGAGGAAAACAGCAGUUCACUGUAUCCUACUGCACUCCGUACAGCAGUUUACAGAACCGGCACAGAAAGGAAACACAAAACAACAGUAAAGGAAGGAAAGAUGGGCUUUGAAUAUGUACUCUCAAGAAAACUGAGAGAGUGUCCUGAAAUGGCUCAGUGCGAGACGAUGAUAUCCUUAGAGCUGAAGAAUGACACUGGAAAGAUUCCUGUUCAUGAAAAAGUUCAGCAUGUUAUUGGCACAUCAGUGUCUUAUACCAUAGAUAGUGAAGGAAAGUAUAAUAAGCAUAAGCUUAAAAUGGCAGAAAAAGAAGGUGAGAGAAAAUCAGAUUUGUGUUUUGUAUUGGUAUAGGUGUACUUACGAUAAUAAGAAAAAGUUACCUUCUGUGCAUUCGUGACAAGAAGGCCACAAAUAAUGAAUACUUCUAUUUCAAUUACCAUCACAUUCUAUCUCGUUGUGCUCUUAAAUUUAAACUUUAUUUCUGACUGUGCUGUUAGUGUUUGGCAUAAUACAUUGAUUAUAAAUUACUUGUCCACUGUAAAAAUAGUGUAGUAUUAAAGUUUGUCUGCCUCUGCACAAGAUUUUAUAAUGGAAUUGGAUUAAGUUUUGCUUGCUUACUAGAAGUUGACACAUCUUGGAAUCAACAACAAAUGGUGCUAUUUCUUUGAGUGCUUGUGUUUGUGCAUGUGUAUUCCACUUUAGGGGUGUGUGCACCCAGUGUACUCAAGCCGGAGAAUUCUGUGGAUCACGUGUCCUGUACCUUCUGGCAAGUGUUUAAAGGGUGGAGCAGCCCCAACCCCUCUUUGGUUCCUUCUGACUGUCUGUGACUAUAAGCUAGAGCUCCCCGAGUUCUGUCAUGGUCUCUUUCAUUCAUCUCGAGAGGUUUUUUUCCUUUGUAAAUAGGUAGUAGUAUCAUUUUUAGCACUUCAUUGUGUGUUUCUUUUUAUUUUUUUUCCACCCUGCCAAAAUAGCUCUUUUAGUCUGAGAUGUGAAACACUGGCUUUAUGCUGUCUCUGGUAUUUAAGCACUGCCCCUCUUGCAGGGUGUCUAUCCCUAACAAUGACAGCUGCACCUCUUGUUUAUUGUGGUUGGGGGAAGUUCACUUUGUGAGAAAGAUGCGGCAUCUGUUGUGUCUUUAAAAAGAGGACUCAGAAGUCAAGAGAGCUUCAUCUGAGGAAGUACGUAAUAGAGCAGGCAAUGAGACCAUCCUCUGAUUCAGUACUGCCUGGUAUAGUGAGAUCUCAAACUACUACUAAAAGUGCCUUCUUCAUUCAAGCUCUCAAAAACAUGAGAAAGUGGGAUCUGUCUGUCAUGAGAAAAUGGAAGCUCUCCCCGUCUCUGUGCUCUUCUCAUAAAGAACCAACACGUGAAACUCACCCUAAACCAAUAAAGAGCUCUUUGGGUCUUUAAAAGGGAUCCUG